rnacentral:lncRNA from 1 species
CCGCGGUCACACUGCACACGAAAGCUAACCGAGCGGGGCUGCCGCCGCCCGCCCAAAAUUUGCCCCAUCGUCGCUGCGUGCGCGGCGCGUCUUUUACGAACAGCAGGAUUAAACACGGUGCAUAAAUGAAAAACAUAUUGUGAAUAGAAAUUUGUAUUUUAUUAAGGCCGGUGAGGAAUUAGUGCUUAAUGGAGAGUGUAUAAAUCGAUAGACAGUGUGUGUAAAUCCUUAAAGGAGAAAAUUACUCUUAAAUAACCAUGAGUAACUAUAUAUAAUUGCCUCAUGUAAAGAACAAGAAGUGCACAAGGAAAAAAAAACAAAGUGUAGCGGCAGCGCGCGGCGUCUCAUCGUCAACGCGGCGUCAAGCGAAAGUAAUGGAAUGGGAACCACAGCCAUCCACCGUCGGCUCUGUGACGAAGCCAGCUGCGACGCCAGCGUCAACAGCGUGCAGACAAUCCGAAUUUCUUUGGAUGCUGUUGGACUAACGAUGUUUCGGCGGGGUUGGUGCGGUGAUGUUGAUGCUGCUGCUGGUGGGUGGUAUUGGUGUUGGUGCGGUGUUGUUUAUUGCUUUCUGUGUAGACACUCGAAAUACCAGCUAGUAGAUUCGCAAGAGAAACUGUAAAAUAACUGCAUUUGAAUGAUGUUUCGACGUCAUCACCUGCUCCUACUCCCACUACUCGUCCUCCGUCCAAGAGCAACAAACAAUUGAAUGGUAAUGAGCGUGAACCCCACCCCCAAUCCCAAUGUUUUUGCUUGUCGAUUUGUGACUGUGUGAUUCCAAUUAGAAUGUCUGAUUGGGAGAGUGUGAUGCUAGAGAGAGAGAGAGAGAGUGUGAUACUAGAGAGAGAGAGAGUCAGAGCGGUGUGGUGCGUUGCGGCACUGCCGCGGCUUCGAUAUCGAUCCGUAUCCGCACUAGAGCACAUAGCCUUUGGGCAACAUAAUCCAACGGAGCGGGAUUAGGGUUACGCAAACGUGCCACAUCCGACGCCUACGUGCAGCUUUAACUGCGACGCAGGCUCUUGCAUUACCGGUCACCGGUAAUUUGCCGACAAGGCCGGCAGAGCUGUCGCGUCUUGUUGCGAGGCAACAGCCAUCUGCUUCUGCUUCAGCGGCGUGAAAGUUUAGACUCAUUAAAUGCAGCUCCACAGCAGUGAAACUUCAGGCAUAACGGUACAACCCGGCAUCAGGCACCGCGGUAGCAGCAGCAGUGCUGUCUUGAAAUUUCCAUAUAAAGCCAAAAUCUAAAGACCACAAAUAAAACGAUGACGUUUAUCAGAUUAAAUCAGGGAAAUAAUAAACAUUUUCAGAAAACGAACUAAGGGUAGAGAAGGAGGAGAAAAUUGUGCCAAACGUAAUUUAAAUUCUAGGAAAAUUAAAAAAAAAAGUUUGCCAAAGUAACUCCAAAGCAAAGCAGAAUAUAAACUUGAACGUAUAAUGAACUAGUAGUAAACAAAAAUGGAUCGAAAAUAAUAAACCUUGAUAUUUUGGCAUUUUAAUUUAAAUUUCAAACAAAAAGAAACGAGAGAUCUUAUGCCUUGGCGGCUCUCAAAAGUGAGACUGAACGAGCAAAUAAUGGAAUGACUGUAUGCAGAUCACUCUAAAUUACUUUUAAAAAUCGCAAUAAUUAUUCACUAUUUUAAUACCUUUUUUGAUUUUGCAAAGUCAUUAAAAGGCUAUAAAUAACAAAACAAUAAAAUACGUAUUCAAAUGGACAGAAAACGGCCACCUAAGUAUUGGCGAGAAAAAAGGCUAAAUUAGUUACACUGAAACAGAGAGCAAAGUCAGGCAUGGCCGCUCUCUCUUUCUCUUUUUCUCUCUCUCUCUCUCUCUCUCUCUCUCUCUAUCUCUCUCUCUCUCUCUGUUUUGCGAGAAAGUGUUUGUAAAACCCUCAAAAGAUUUAACCAUAGACAAGAAAAAUGCUAAUGCAACCAAGCGUGAAGCUUUGUAAAGCUCUCCCAAUACCAGUGCGUAUUUUUGUACCGUUUCAACGUUUAAUCUUUAAAGUGCAACCAAGAGAAAAAAAUCAAGCAAUAAAAGAAGAAGAGCUUUGAAGAGCAAAAGCAGCAAAAUAAUAAGUGAAACCCGUAAACCAAACAUAAAGCUGGCAACUCUGCCAACCGUAGCGCAACGGCUACGGCAAACUAAGCUAAGCAGCGGCGUCAGCAUCGACGUCUGACUGCAGCCAGAGGUCGCGCUGGCAACAAAAUUGCGGUAUGUGUUCUU